rnacentral:rRNA from 1 species
UACGGAGGGGACUAGCGUUGUCCGGAAUUAUUGGGCGUAAAGGGCUCGUAGGCGGUUUGUCGCGUCGGGAGUGAAAACUCAGGGCUUAACCCUGAGCCUGCUUCCGAUACGGGCAGACUAGAGGUAUGCAGGGGGAGAACGGAAUUCCUGGUGUAGCGGUGAAAUGCGCAGAUAUCAGGAGGAACACCGGUGGCGAAGGCGGUUCUCUGGGCAUUACCUGACGCUGAGGAGCGAAAGUGUGGGGGAGCGAACAGG